rnacentral:rRNA from 1 species
AUGGGUCAGCGACUUAUAUUCAGUGGCAAGGUUAACCAUCUAGGGGAGCCGUAGGGAAACCGAGUCUUAACUGGGCGUCAUAGUCUCUGGAUAUAGACCCGAAACCGAGUGAUCUAGCCAUGGGCAGGUUGAAGGUUGAGUAACAUCAACUGGAGGACCGAACCGACUAAUGUUGAAAAAUUAGCGGAUGACUUGUGGCUAGGGGUGAAAGGCCAAUCAAACUCGGAGAUAGCUGGUUCUCCCCGAAAGCUAUUUAGGUAGCGCCUCGGACGAAUACUACUGGGGGUAGAGCACUGUUAAGGCUAGGGGGUCAUCCCGACUUACCAACCCUUUGCAAACUCCGAAUACCAGUAAGUACUAUCCGGGAGACACACGGCGGGUGCUAACGUCCGUCGUGGAGAGGGAAACAACCCAGACCGCCAGCUAAGGUCCCAAAUUACAGCUAAGUGGGAAACGAUGUGGGAAGGCUUAGACAGCUAGGAUGUUGGCUUAGAAGCAGCCAUCAUUUAAAGAAAGCGUAAUAGCUCACUAGUCGAGUCGGCCUGCGCGGAAGAUGUAACGGGGCUAAGUUGUAA